UCCUAACCCGGAUGCUGCAGAUCAUCAAGUUUGGAUUUGACUCUGGGUGUCGCUCAGUGCUCUGUGGUGGAACACCUGCCUGAAAAGUAGAUACCUGGGAUGCAAAGAAAACUCAUUCACUGAGUGAUUCUUCAGCCUCAUUUACUGAUCAGUGCUUUUGGGCAGUGGACGAACUGUGUAACAGCCUGAGAUAAACCAAAUGACAUAUUGCAAUUCAGAUUGAAAAUAUUUUGAACAUUGAACUGAUCAAAAUGAUAUCCUCUACGUGAUAACACAGUUUCACAACUCGAUGCAAAA